UUGGUUAAGUUAGAAAGGGCGCACGGUGGAUGCCUUGGCACUAGGAGCCGAAGAAGGACGGGACUAACACCGAUAUGCUUUGGGGAGCUGUACGUAAGCGUUGAUCCAGAGAUUUCCGAAUGGGGGAACCCACUAUCUUUAGUCGGAUAGUAUCCUUACGUGAAUACAUAGCGUGAGGAAGGCAGACCCAGGGAACUGAAACAUCUAAGUACCUGGAGGAAGAGAAAGAAAAAUCGAUUUCCUGAGUAGCGGCGAGCGAAACGGAAAGAGCCCAAACCAAGAAGCUUGCUUCUUGGGGUUGUAGGACACUCUAUACGGAGUUACAAAAGAAAGUUAUAAAUGAAGCGGUCUGGAAAGGCCCGCCAAAGACGGUAACAGCCCGGUAGUUGAAAUGGCUUUCCCUCCAGAGUGGAUCCUGAGUACGGCGGAACACGUGAAAUUCCGUCGGAAUCCGGGAGGACCAUCUCCCAAGGCUAAAUACUCCCUAGUGACCGAUAGUGAACCAGUACCGUGAGGGAAAGGUGAAAAGCACCCCGGAAGGGGAGUGAAACAGUUCCUGAAACCGUGUGCCUACAAGUAGUUAGAGCCCGUUAAUGGGUGAUAGCGUGCCUUUUGUAGAAUGAACCGGCGAGUUACGAUUUGUUGCAAGGUUAAGCGGAAAAAGCGGAGCCGUAGCGAAAGCGAGUCUGAAUAGGGCGCAUAAGUAACAGGUCGUAGACCCGAAACCAGGUGAUCUACCCAUGUCCAGGAUGAAGGUAAGGUAAUACUUACUGGAGGUCCGAACCCACGCACGUUGAAAAGUGCGGGGAUGAGGUGUGGGUAGCGGAGAAAUUCCAAUCGAACUUGGAGAUAGCUGGUUCUCUCCGAAAUAGCUUUAGGGCUAGCCUCGAGGUAAAGAGUCAUGGAGGUAGAGCACUGUUUGGACUAGGGGCCCUUCUCGGGUUACCGAAUUCAGAUAAACUCCGAAUGCCAUGUACUUAUACUCGGGAGUCAGACUGCGAGUGAUAAGAUCCGUAGUCGAAAGGGAAACAGCCCAGACCACCAGUUAAGGUCCCCAAAUAUAUGUUAAGUGGAAAAGGAUGUGGGGUUGCUUAGACAACCAGGAUGUUGGCUUAGAAGCAGCCACCAUUGAAAGAGUGCGUAAUAGCUCACUGGUCGAGUGACCCCGCGCCGAAAAUGUACCGGGGCUAAACAUAUUACCGAAACUGUGGAUGAACCUCUUUAGAGGUUCGUGGUAGGAGAGCGUUCUAAGGGCGGUGAAGUCAGACCGGAAGGACUGGUGGAGCGCUUAGAAGUGAGAAUGCCGGUAUGAGUAGCGAAAGAAGGGUGAGAAUCCCUUCCACCGAAUAUCUAAGGUUUCCUGAGGAAGGCUCGUCCGCUCAGGGUUAGUCGGGACCU
rnacentral:rRNA from 1 species